rnacentral:tRNA from 1 species
GCCGAUGUGGCGAAACGGCAGACGCAGUUGACUCAAAAUCAACCGGAUUUUACAUCCGUGUCGGUUCAAAUCCGACCAUCGGCA